UUAAUUGAAACCAAAAAGAGGUAUAUCACUGUUAAUGAUAAAAAUGAACUAAAGUUCCAAUUAAA
rnacentral:tRNA from 1 species